GUCCUGUCAGGGUGAGAGGCGACCGAUCAAUGAUCGUAUAGAGACGGUGGGUCGUGCCGACACCUAAGACAACGAACACACUUUUUUAAGGCGAGCGAGUCUGCUCUACUUUAAGUGGGCUUGCCCGUCAAUUUUUGGAAGCCCAUUUUAUUGGGUCCCAACAAAUAAUUUAAUCCACUAGUUUUGUUAGAGGGCUUGCAUGUCACGCAUUGGAUCUGAUUUAUCAAGGGGGUUCCAUUGGAUAAUUAUUUGUGCUGGAAAUCCUUUUCAAGAUAAUAUAUCUAAGGGUGAAGAUAUGUUAGCUUAAGUCCAAGGCAUGAACGGGAAGAAAAUGACAGGGGCUAUUUUUCAAGUUACGGCGUGGGAGAAAUGAAAGGUCUCCCACGAAAGCUGCGGCUGCUGCACCAGAUGAUAUCCCCACCUGCAACAGAUAAAAGUUGACCCAUUCAAAAGUAAAUGGGUCGAACGUGUCAACUCUUUUGAAGAUUACCAAAUGAAGCAAUUUAACAUGUUCAGAGAUGCGUAUGAUGAAUAAUAUUAACUCUAACUUACAAGUAAUCCUUCUUUAAGAGCAAGAAGCUUUGCAGUUUCAAUUGCUUCUUCACUUGAAACCUUACGCAUAGAACAUCACUUUAAUUAAAACAAUCAACGAUUGACAACAAAUGCCCAACUUCAUCUAUAAGAUCAACUUGAAUAAAUAAAACCCAAAAAGCCAUACAGUAGAGUGAUAAAAAGAGGAUAAUGAGGGGCGGGUCUUACUUGCAUAACUUCAUCAAUAAGAUCAACUUCUAAAACAGCAGGGAUCAAUCCAGCACCAAUCCCUUGGAUCUUAUGUGGACCUUAGGCACCAUACACAUAAUCAAUAACGCAAAAAUAUUCAUUAAUAAGAAGUCCAAUUGACAUGAAUAUAUUAGUUCACUGAACAUGAUAUAGAUGACCCCAUUUGUUUUUUUAAGAUUCAUGUAACUUAUGAUGAUUAGCUUUCGGUGCUCAGGUUGGUCUUGUUAUCCACUUCAUAUUUAUAAAAUCAAGAAGUUAAACAUCUGAUAGUGAAUUUUAUACAUUGGUUUAACAUAAA
rnacentral:lncRNA from 1 species